GACGAACGCUGGCGGCGUGCCUAAUACAUGCAAGUCGAACGCAUUUUCUUUCACCGUAGCUUGCUACACCGAAAGAAAAUGAGUGGCGAACGGGUGAGUAACACGUGGGUAACCUGCCCAUCAGCGGGGGAUAACACUUGGAAACAGGUGCUAAUACCGCAUAAUUCCAUUUACCGCAUGGUAGAUGGAUGAAAGGCGCUUUUGCGUCACUGAUGGAUGGACCCGCGGUGCAUUAGCUAGUUGGUGGGGUAACGGCCUACCAAGGCUGCGAUGCAUAGCCGACCUGGGAGGGUGAUCGGCCACACUGGGACUGGGACACGGCCCAGACGCCUACGGGAGGCAGCAGUAGGGAAUCUUCGGCAAUGGACACAAGUCUGACCGAGCAACGCCGCGUGAGUGAAGAAGGUUUUCGGAUCGUAAAACUCUGUUGUUAGAGAAGAACAAGGAUGAGAGUGGAAAGUUCAUCCCUUGACGGUAUCUAACCAGAAAGCCACGGCUAACUACGUG
rnacentral:rRNA from 1 species